rnacentral:misc_RNA from 1 species
AAUGUCGUAUCAGGUUGGCGUCAGGUAGGAUCGACUGCGGAAGGAUCAUUACAGUACACUGUAAUAGUGUUGGGAACCUGAAAAGGGCGCCCAAUACUUCUAAACCUUGCAAAUAAUUAAUCGUUACCUCGGCGGGCUUGCCCGCUGGCGGAUAUACACUAAACUCUUGUAAACAUGCUGUAACUAGUGGAAAAACUUGUCUGAAAAUAUAUUAAAUAUUUUAAAAA